AGAGUUUGAUCCUGGCUCAGGAUAAACGCUGGCGGUGUACAUAAGACAUGCAAGUCGAACGGGAGAAGACUGGAAGAUUUAUCUACUGGUUGGACACCGUGGCGGACGGGUGAGUAACACGUAAGCAACCUGCCUAUAAGAGGGGAAUAACAGUGAGAAAUUACUGAUAAUACCGCAUAAGCUGGAGGUAUCGCAUGAUACAUUCAGAAAAGAUUUAUCGCUUAUAGAUGGGCUUGCGUCUGAUUAGCUAGUUGGUGAGAUAACAGCUCACCAAGGCGACGAUCAGUAGCCGGAUUGAGAGGUUGAACGGCCACAUUGGGACUGAGACACGGCCCAGACUCCUACGGGAGGCAGCAGUCGGGAAUAUUGCACAAUGGAGGAAACUCUGAUGCAGUGACACCGCGUAUAGGAAGAAGGUCUUAGGAUUGUAAGCUAUUGUCGUGUGAGAAGAAAAUGACCAUCACAGGAGGAAGCCCUGGCUAAAUAUGUGCCAGCAGCCGCGGUAAUACAUAUGGGGCGAGCGUUAUCCGGAUUUAUUGGGUGUAAAGGGUGCGUAGGCGGGAAAAUAAGUCAGUAUGUGAAAUCCCUCGGCUCAACUGAGGAACUGCAACUGAAACUAUUUUUCUUGAGUGUUGAAGGGGAAAGUGGAAUUCCUAGUGUAGCGGUGAAAUGCGUAGAGAUUAGGAGGAACACCAGUGGCGAAGGCGACUUUCUGGGCAACAACUGACGCUGAGGCACGAAAGUGUGGGGAGCAAACAGGAUUAGAUACCCUGGUAGUCCACACCGUAAACGAUGGAUACUAGGAGU
rnacentral:rRNA from 1 species